CCUACGGGGGGCAGCAGUGGGGAAUAUUGGACAAUGGGGGGAACCCUGAUCCAGCGAUGCCGCGUGAGUGAAGAAGUAUUUCGGUAUGUAAAGCUCUAUCAGUAGGGAAGAAAGAAAUGACGGUACCUGACUAAGAAGCCCCGGCUAACUACGUGCCAGCAGCCGCGGUAAUACGUAGGGGGCAAGCGUUAUCCGGAUUUACUGGGUGUAAAGGGAGCGUAGGCGGCGAUGCAAGUUUGAGGUGAAAGGACGGGGCCCAACCCCCGGACUGCUUUGAAAACUGUAUGUCUAGAGUGCAGGAGAGGUAAGUGGAAUUCCUAGUGUAGCGGUGAAAUGCGUAGAUAUUAGGAGGAACACCAGUGGCGAAGGCGGCUUACUGGACUGUAACUGACGUUGAGGCACGAAAGCGUGGGGAGCAAACAGGAUUAGAUACCCCAGUAGUC
rnacentral:rRNA from 1 species